CACCCCACAUCUUCUUUAUCUAUUCAUCAGUUGAUGGACAUUUGGGCUCUUUCCAUGAUUUGGCUAUUGUGAAUAGUGCUGCUAUAAACAUUGGGGUGCAUGUGCCCCUUUGAAUCUGCACUCCUGUAUCCUUUGGAUAAAUAUCUAGUAGUGCAAUUGCUGGGUCAUAGGAUAGUUCUAUUUGUAAUUUUUUGAGGAACCUCCAUACUGUUUUCCAGAGUGGCUGUACCAGCUUGCAUUCCCACCGACAGUGCAAAAGAGAUCCUCUUUCUCUGCAGCCUCACCAACACCUGUUGUUGCCUGAGUUGUUAAUGUGAGCCAUUCUGACAGGUGUGAGGUGGUAUCUCAUUGUGGUUUUGAUUUGUAUUUCCCUGAUGAUGGGUGAUGUUGAACAUUUUUUCAUGCGUCUGUUAGCCAUCUGGUGUCUUCUUUGGAAAAGUGUCUAUUCAUGUUUUUUGCCCAUUUCUUCACUGGGUUAUUUGUUUUUUGGGUGUUGAGUUUGAUAAAUUCUUUGUAGAUUUUGGACACUAACCCUUUAUCUGAUAAUGUCUUUUGCAAAUAUCUUCUCCCAUUCCGUCUGUUGACUUUUAGUUUUGCUGAUUGUUUCCUUCGCUGUGCAGAGGAUUUUUAUCUUAAUGAGGGCCCAAUAGCUCAUUUUUGCUUUUGGUUCCCUUGCCUCUGGAGACAUGUCAAGUAAGAAGUUGCUGCGGCCGAGGUCAAAGAGGUCUUUGCCUGCUUUCGCCUCUAGGAUUUUGAUAGUUUCCUAUCUUAUGUUUAGUCUUUCAUCCAUUUUGAGUUUAUUUUUGUGUUAUGGUGUAAGAAAGUGGUCCAGGUUCAUUGUUCUGCAUGUUGCUGUCUUUUUCCCCAACACCAUUUGCUGAAGAGACUGUCUUUUUUCCAUUGGAUAUUCUGUCCUGCUUCGUCAAAGAUUAGUUGGCCAUACGUUUGUGGGUCCAUUUCUGGGUUCUCUGUUCUGUUCCAUUGAUCUAGGUGUCUGUUUUUGUCCCAGGACCAUACUGUCUUGAUGAUUACAGCUUUGUAAUACAGCUUGAAGUCCUGAAUUGUGAUGCCUCCAGCCUUGAUUUUCUUUUUCAGGAUUGUUUUGGCUAUUCAGAGUCUUUCUGGCUCCAUACAAAUUUUAGGGUUGUUUACUCUAGCUCUGUGAAGAAUGUUGGUGUUAUUGUGAUAGGGUUUGCAUUGCAUAUGUUUUGGAUUGUAUUGACAUUUUAACAAUAUUUGUUGUUACAAUCCACGAGCAUGGAAUGUUUUUCCGUGAAUUCUUCAAUUUCUUUUGUAAGCUUUCUAUAGUUUUCAGUGUAUUCUCAACAAGAUACUAGCCAACCGGAUCCAAAAAUACAUUGAAAGAAUUAUUCACCAUGAUCAAGUGGGAUUUAUUCCUGGGCUGCAAGGGUGGUUCAAUAUCUGCAAAUCAAUCAAUAUGAUACAUCACAUUAGUAAAAGAGAAGAUAAGAACCAUAUGAUCCUCUCUAUAGAUGCAGAGAAAGCAUUUGACAAAAUACAGCAUCCUUUCUUGAUAAAACACCCUCAAGAAAGUAGGGAUAGAAGGAUCAUACCUCAAGAUUAUUAAAGGCCAUAUAUGAAAGACUCACAGCUAAUGUCAUGCUCGAUGGCAGAAAACUGAGAGCUUUCCGCCUAAGGUCAGGAACACGACAAGGGGGUCCACUCUCCCCAGUGUUGUUCAACAUAGUGUUGGAAGCCCUAGCUUCAGCAGUCAGACAACACAAAGAAAUAAAAUGUAUCCAAAUCAGCAAGGAGUACUCUAUGGGGAAAACCCAAAGACUCCACCAAAACACUGCUAGAACUGACACGUGAAUUUGCAAAGUCACAGGAUAUAAAUCAGUGCACAGAAAUCCGUUGCAUUUCUAGACACCAAUAAGGAAGCAGCAGAAAGAGAAAUCAAGGAACUGAUCCCCUUUACAAUUGCACCAAAACCCAUAAAAUACCUAGGAAUAAACCUGAGCAAAGAGAUGAAAAAUGUAUACCCUGAAAACUAUAGAAACCUUUUGAUACGUUUUUAUUAACUAAAGCUCUUUUUUUCCCUUAGGGUUUACUCUGUGUGCUGUGCAUUCUGUGGUGCCCUCACAUUGCAAUUUUCCAGGAUUUUUUUUUCAUUCCCUAAAGCUUUUUUUUUUUUUAAUAAUUUUUUUUAAUGUUUAUUUCUUAUUGAGAGACAGAGAGACACAGAGAGUGAACAGGGGGCGGGUAGAGAGAGGGGAGACACAGAAUCUGUAAUAGGCUCCAGGCUCUGAGCUGUCAUCACAGAGCCCGAUGCGGGGCUCGAACUCCCGGACCGUGAGAUCAUGACCUGAGCUGAAGUCGGACACUUAACUGACUGAGCCACCCAGGCGCCCCUGAAAGCUUUUUAAAUAGCAUCUCAUUCUCGUUUCAUGCAUGCAUGUUUUCUUACAUCUCCCAGAUUUUCAUUGACUUUAUUAGUUUUGUUUUCUCUUUGCACAAUCUCUAUUUCCUCAAAAAUUUUCUUUUUUGUUUAUUUUAUUUUUUUGAAAUCUUUUUAACAUUUAUUUAUUUAUUUUCGAGAGAGAGAGAGAGAGAGACGGAGCACAAGCAGGGGAGGGGCAGAGAGAGGAGGGAGACACAGAAUCCGAAGCAGGCUCCAGGCUCUGAGCUGUCAGCACAGAGCCCGACGUGGGGCUCGAACCCAUGAACCACGGGAUCAUGGCCUGAGCCAAAAUCAAUCACUCAACCAACUGAGCCACUCAGGCGCCCCUUUGUUUCCUUUAGUUUCCGUCAUCCCUAGUAGAGGAAAUCCCCAGGGGUCCGAUAAUCCUUAGUUGUAAAUCUGGUUAGAAGCUCUCGGCAUGGGCAUAUGGGGGGGGGGGUGUCUUUCAACUGCGAGCUUCAUGAUGGGGUCACCCGGCCAAGGGUGCUUUGCGGGAAACCAUGCAGAGGAGACGAAGGUUGGGGGCUCAUCAUGGAUUACGGUACAGACACUCCCUGGCUUCCAGUGGUUUGACUUACAAUUUUUUGACUUAACGAUGAUGCAAACGUGAUGUGCAUUCGGUAGAAGCUGUACGUUGAAUGUGGAAUUUGGAUCUUUUUCCCAGACUCCUGACAGGCAGUGUGAGACUCUGUCCUGAUCCUGGCCACCAGCAGUGAGCCGCCGCUCCCAGUCAGCCGCACGAUCACGAGGGUAAACGACCCGUACAGGCAUUCUGUACCCAUUCAGCCCUUCUGUUUUUCACUUUCAGUAUGGUAUUCAGUUAAUUAUGUGAGAUAUUCAACACUUUAUUAAAUAAGCUUUGUAGGGGCUCCUGGGUGGCUCAGUUGGGUAAGCGUCCGACUUCGGCUCAGGUCAUGAUCUCGCGGUUCGAGAGUUCGAGCCCCACGUCGGGCUCUGUGCUGACAGCUCGGAGCCUGGAGCCUGCUUCGGAUUCUGUGCCUCCCUCUCUCCCUCUGCCCCUCCCUCCCUCUGUGUGUCUCUCUCCUUCAAAAAUAAAUAACAUCAGAAAAAAUAUUUUUUGAGAAAAUAGGCUUUGUGUUCGAUUAUUUUGCCCAACUGUGAGCUAAUGUAAGUGUUUUGAGCACGUUUAAGGUAGGCCAGGCUCAGCUAUAAUGUUUAUUGGGUUAGAUGUAUUAAAUGCAUUUUUGACUUAUGGUAUUUUCAACUUACGUUGCGUUUUUUGGGGUGUAACCCCACUGUAAGUCCAGGAAGAUCUGUCUUAUUGACUACAGUUCCCCUGUUGUACGUUACAUCCCUGUGACUGAUUUUAUGUAGGGGCUUGCUUCCCAGACAGAUUUCUACCCAUUUCACGCUGGAGUCCAGGAUUCGGCUUUCUCCCACCUCCAAGGACCCCUGCCUUUCCCAUUUUCCUAGUCUUUGUGUUCACACUUUUAAAACAUCCCUUGACUGGGGCACCCGGUUGGCUCAGUCGGUUAGGCAUCUGACUUUGGCUCAGGUCAUGAUCUCACGGUUUGAGUUUGAGCCCCCCUUCUCUCUCCCUCUCUCUCCCCCUGUCUCCCCCUCUCUCUACCCCUCAUGGGACUCUCCCUCUCUGUCUGUCCCUCGCUCACUUGUGCCCUCUCUCUCUCUCAAAAAAUUAAUGAAAAGAAAAAAAAAUCUCUUUACUGGCUAUUUUGGGGGGAAACAGGGAAAUUCAAUGAUCAGUCAGUGUCUGGGUGUUUGACCUGCCUGCUGCCUUUGCGUGAAAUCACCCGUGACUUUUCUCACCUUGUGGCUCCUUCCUCAUCCACCUGCAUCGGGGCCCCACAGCCUCCCGUUGUAAGGAUCGGCCGUUGAGCAUCGAACCCCUCCUAGACUACAGAUCGUUUGGGCUCUUUUCCGUCUUCUGCUCAUUGGAAGCUACAAAUGAAUAACAGUAUCAUUUCCCCGAGGUGACUUUAACCUGCCAAGAUCGAUCUUCUAAUUAGUGGAACGAUCCAGAACCAUGGAGAAAGUCCUGUUGCCGUGCAGUCUCCUCCCACUCUCUGCUUUGGUCACUCCUCUCUAGCCUGCUGGCCUUGUCCUUCCCACCUCCAGGCCUUUGCACUCACGGUACCCUCCACCUGGAAUGCUUUCCCCCUACCGGCCGCGCUUUACCCACUGCUGGCUCCUUCCCGUUCUUUAUUUUUAUCAUUUUUUAAUUGUUUAAAGUUUAUUUAUUUAUUUUGAAAGAGAGAGCACACAGGGGAAGGGCAGAGAGAGAGAAUCCCAAGCAAUCUUCGCGACGUCAGCGCAGAGCCUGACACGGGGCUAGAACCCACGAACCGUGAGAUCAUGCCCUGAGCCAAAACCAAGAGGCCCAACUGAAUGAGUCAUCCAGGCGCCCCUCCUUCCCAUUCUUUAAAAUGUAGCACAAAUGUCGCUUCCUCAAAGUGGUCCCCCCCCCCCACCCCCACCCUUCCUGUGGAUAAAGCUUUUGAUCACAUCAUCCUGUUUCCUUUUUAGGAAACUUAGCAUAAAACUAUCAUUGGAUUGGGGCACUUGGGAGGCUCAGUUGGUUGAGUGUCCACUCUUGAUUUCCGCUCCGGUCAAAAUCUCACGGUUCGUGAGUUUGAGCCCUGCGUCGGGCUCUGUGCUGACAGCGCGAAGUCCGCUUGGGAUCCUCUCUCUCUGCCCCUCCCCCCUGCUCUCUCUCAAAAA